UGCAUCGGCCGGGAAUCGAACCCUGGCCGCCCGCGUGGCAGGCGAGCAUUCUACCACUUAACCACCGAUGC
rnacentral:tRNA from 1 species